ensembl:lncRNA
GCCAGUUUUUAGGGCCAAUUGACUGACUAAUCCAAGCUUGCCAGCUUGUGGCGGAAAAAUAGAUCCAAACACACAUGCUCCCACAUUUAUGUGAUGACUUUACUCGGGGCCCACACCAUCGCCCUCUGGCCCCUAUUCCUCCAUCCUGAUGAGAUUUCUGGUUGGUUUAUGGUUACAUGGCAACCAACCAGUGUACAUAACGCCUCCCACCCCCAGACCCCCUUAGCUGGGAGACCCCAUGCCCUUUGCCCUCUCCCUUCUUGCUGCCUGGAAGAUGGACCUGGUGCCUAGAGACACGGCAGCUGUCUUGACCAUGGGACACAGCCACGCCCUGAGGAUGGCCGUGCAGGGAGACAGAGGAGGCUGGUUCCUGAAUGAGCGCAUCAACCCCAGACCACUCGUCCACCCUGGACAACUUGUCAGCCAAAAAAUAUAUAGAAUAAUGAAAACGUCACUGGCACAGACUGAGAAAUCAAACAGCACAAAAAGAUACACGACAGACACUGAGUCCUUCACCAAAUGCAGAUCCCCAGGCCCAGCAACCCCGUGACCGAGUUUCUUGGGCGUCAUUCCAGAAAUGUUUCAGGGAUGAAGUGAGGAUCAAAUGAGUUAAAAGCUCGAGUUCUUCGGACUGUGACAGGCAGAGAAAAAGCGCUAAGUGCUGGCCGUUAAUAGUCUAGGUGGCCUUGGAAUCAAACCGAGGGGCCAGUUGCUUCUGCCGUGGUGGUGUUGUCCAAGGUCACCACCACAGCAUGGCUGAUGAGUGGUGUAGGUCUGUGGCCGGGAUCUGAACCUGUGAACCCUGGGCCACUGAAGCAGAAUGCACCAAACUUAACCACGAUGCCAUGGGGCCGGCCCCGAGAAUCUGCAUUUUUAAUGUGAUGAAUCUCAGUCAGGUGGUUGUGGACUAUGCUUAAAAAAACAGGCAAGUGGUCAUGGCAAUUACAUUUUUAAAAAUGAUCUUCAAUAGCUGGAUUCUUUCAUUUUCUCCAGAUUACCAGGCUGGUACCUACUUCACUUCCUCCCAGAGCUGUGGGUAGAAGAAAUAUAUGGGAAUCCAAAAUAAUGAUAUUUCAACUAGAGCUCUGUUGUGAUCUGAUACUUGCAAAAUACCCUAAUAAAAGCAAAUAUUACAGACAUUUGAAUAAUGCAAAGUAAAGUAUAUUUUGAAGAUGUUUUGAAAAUAAUGAUGCUAAUACGCUGCCUUGUUUGAAGUGAAGUAUGAGUGCUAUGCAAAGCUCUUUUGUUUAGGGAGACAAUGCUGCACGAUGACAUCAGAGGUACCCAAUAAUAUUUUCAGCAGAAUUUUGGAAUGUGUCACACGUCACAAACACAAAAGUGGAGUUGUUUUUACUUGAGUAUGAUGCAAAACAAAUUUAUUCUGGGUUUGAUAGCUUGAGAUGCCCUGUGUGUGGCACAGUGACACUAGCCAUCAGCACAUCUCUAUAUAUUUUGCACAAAUCUAAUAUUUGAAAAAUGAUCACUAUCUCCCACAUCCUGGGAAAAAUACAGAAAUCUCCAAGGUCUGCGUAAAUUAUUUCUAACUAGCUCGAGUGCCCUCAGUCCCUCCAUUCAUUUUCAUCCCCUUUUCCAUCUUUAGCUUCUCAACUCAUCUGUCGCAUGGAAAAUGUGAUAAUUAGGAAUACAAAAAGGUGUUUUGCAAAAUGCCUUGGAGAACCGGAAUCUGAUUUUCCAAUGAGAUUUUUAACACGCGAUUGUAUUCUUUUGAAUUCACCAGUUGCACAGAGAACACACAUUCACACAGCACUUCCGUACACACACACACACACACGGUUGCGUUUAUAUAUUUCAACGUUACAAGUGGUUAAGCUGACUCGUCAGUGUGGGUUUUCCUAUAAAUUCUUCAUUCUGUUGAUUCUAACCAGGCUCAGAGUCAAAAAUGAAAGCGACUUGACUCUAGAGAUCCUUUCUCUUCUAGACAAGAAGGAUGGCCCUGCGACCCCGGAGUCGCCAGGCAACCACUGUGCCUGCUGGUCCUCCUGCCUCCUGCUUCCCCCAGGCGUCAGGGCCACGGUCCAGGGAGGCCUGUGACACCAAGACAGCUCACCUGAGGCUACAGAUGUUCGCCAAAUGUACCCACGUCUGCUAUUCUCACCCAGGUGCCAUUAUCCACACCCUGGGUGUGAACUGAUUUUGCUUUUGGAGUGUAGAAAAAUAUGUGGAUGUGUGAAAAGUAAAGCAAACACUUGUUAUUCCAAAGUGUGAGCUUCAGCUGAGCUAAACAUAUGUAAAGUUAUAGUGGGAAGACCAGUGAACUAAAAUGAGUAGAGAUAGAACUUUCUAGAAAAAGAUCCUGGAUGGACUCCCUAUGAAACUUAUAUUUGUUUGAUUAAAAAAAAAAAAAACGACUGCAAUUACGCACAAAGCUUUCAGGCCCUUGUACCUGGCCUCCGUUCCCCUAAAUGAAUUGGUUUGCAGUGAUCAUUGGGAAGUCGUUCAUUCAACCAGCUAUUCAUCCAAGAAUUUACUGAGUGUGAGUUUGAAUUUAUUGAGUGUGAGUCAGGCACUGUGGCAUCCUCCUUGCUCAGUUUACAGUCUGUGGGGCACAAGCAAAUGCACACUUCUAAUAGAAGGAUUCGGAUUAUACUUGUGGUAAGGGCAGAGAGCCGACAAAAACAAAGGAAGGGCCUUCAGCCCAGGUGGCACAUCCAAGAAGACUUCCCAGGGCAGUCUGAUUAUCAGAGCAGAAUCCUGAAGGGAUAAAAAUAGUCAGAAGUCACGGCGCUUAUCUGCAUGCAACAGAAAUCAGCAAUGGCUGAUUCUCCCGAAAAGGGACUCAUUAAAGGAUAACUGAGUAAUUCACCAGAGGGCUGGGAGAGAGGAGGAACCACGCCCAAUGCUGAGUGUCCAGAAGUGGCCUGAUGAGGCAUGUGCCACCGCAUUGGGCUCACCAACCACCGGGGGAACUGCCACGGCCCUAUGUGCCCAGUGAUGCCACAGCUCGCCCUGUGACCACUGCUGCCCUGAGUGCUGGCUGCUUCUGCCACCAUUCUCGCCGCCUUCUGCAAGUUGCUGAUGUCUGAAUCAGAGAGCCACACGGUGGCAGCUAGUCACACAUCUGCAUUCAGCUGCAAGGGAAGUUUUGAGUUUGCUGGGCACCCAGAAAAUGUAAAAAAGCCACAGACACAGUGAGGAGGGUGGCCUGGAUAGAAACAGCCCCCCGUGCAAAGAGCCAGGGAAACAGUUUCAUCUUCUAUCUCCCUUAUUCGUCCAACAACCCAAGUCUUGAGAAACGCACAGAUGUUUGUCAUUGGCCAACCUUUUACUUUGCCAAAAAAGGCAUGAAAAUGACAACUACUGCUGCAAUUUAUUAUCAUUAUCA